GAGAGAUGGGGGGGAUAGGUGAACGUACUGCAUAUGAUUGAAAUGAGUUACGCUAAUAUGUAUGUGUAUGAUAAUAAAGACAUUGUAAGAGAGGGAGAGGGAGGUUAAGUGUGCGUGUGUGUUUGUCCAAGUAGCUUUAGAACAGGUGUGUCUGAGGACCGGAGGUGUGGCUGAUAACCUCCGGAAACUGAGGAGGAGGAGGAGGAGGAAGAAGGGGAAGCAGGUGGUAGUAGUGGAGGUGGUGGUGGUUGUGGUGGCCAUCUCUUAGGACUAAACUCUCAUCAUCUUACUCGCUUUGUUCUGUCAUCACUACUAUUUUCAAAGGCUACAAUGGUAAUAUACUGUUAGCAAGUCCCUUAUGUAUCUAUUUCUAAAUGCUGCACACUCUUAACUACAGUUUUCAAACGCAACAAAGAAAAUAAGGGGAUUUUCAGAAGUGUUUUUAUUCAUUGCUCUUUUAUCAGUAUUUUGAAGCGCUACAGAGACAAUGGCGUGGUUCUCGUAAGUGUUUUUGCGUACUGAUAAUGCAAUGCCUGGGUACACUACGACUAGAACCAGGAAAACACUUCAUUACAGCCAUCUCAACCCACUAUAGUUUGCGGUAAUGGCAUGUAUCUAUUUCUAAACACAUUGCUCUCUCAUCCCAGUACUUUGAAAAUGCUACAGACUCAUAGAGGUAAUUAAUUGUACAUAUUUUCAAGGGUAAACUAUAACUACAGCCAGAAAUCACCCCAUCACAACCAUCGCAAUCUCAGGAUGUGUAUCUAAUUCUAAACACAUUGCUCUCUCAUUCGCAGUACUUGGAAAUGCCAGAGAUGAUUAGUUGUACAGGUUUUCAAGAGUAAACUACAACUGCAACCAGAAAAUCACCCGUCACAACCAUCUCUCCCUCAAACAUAAAAGUAUGAUGAUGGUGAUGAUGAUGAUGGCAGUGAACUAUGCUGUAUCACUGUCUUUAAGUUUAGAGAGAGAGAUAGAAAGAUACAGAACAUGAAAGUGAACGGUAAGAUGAAAAUACCCGAUGACGUCACAUGAGUCAGGUGUUGCCCUCGUCUGGACCAG